GCAAACUUGGUCAUUUAGAGGAAGUAAAAGUCGUAACAAGGUUUCCGUAGGUGAACCUGCGGAAGGAUCAUUAAAAGAAUUAAGAAAUGUUUCAUCAUUUCAAAAUUCCCAACCCUUUGUUAAAGAAACUUCAAGUUGCUUUGGUGUAUGGUGUUAAAUAUUAACGUAUUUAAAGUGCCUACCAUUAGCCUAACAAUUUAAAAUUCGUUUUUAAUCAUGUCAAGUCUAAAAAUUUUAAUUUUUAAUUAAAAUAAAACUUUCAACAACGGAUCUCUUGGUUCUGGCAUCGAUGAAGAACGCAGC
rnacentral:misc_RNA from 1 species